GGGCCAUUAGCUCAACAGGUAGAGCAACUGACUCUUAAUCAGUAGGUCGUAGGUUCGAGCCCUACAUGGCCCACCA
rnacentral:tRNA from 2 species